GCAACUGGGUAGCUCAAUUGGUUAGAACAUGGUGCUGGUAAUGUCAAGGUUGCAGUUUCGAUCCCUGUAAGGGAUAACUUGCA